rnacentral:rRNA from 1 species
GGUAUAGACCCGAAACCCGGUGAUCUAGCCAUGGGCAGGUUGAAGGUUGGGUAACACUAACUGGAGGACCGAACCGACUAAUGUUGAAAAAUUAGCGGAUGACUUGUGGCUGGGGGUGAAAGGCCAAUCAAACCGGGAGAUAGCUGGUUCUCCCCGAAAGCUAUUUAGGUAGCGCCUCGUGAAUUCAUCUCCGGGGGUAGAGCACUGUUUCGGCAAGGGGGUCAUCCCGACUUACCAACCCGAUGCAAACUGCGAAUACCGGAGAAUGUUAUCACGGGAGACACACGGCGGGUGCUAACGUCCGUCGUGAAGAGGGAAACAACCCAGACCGCCAGCUAAGGUCCCAAAGUCAUGGUUAAGUGGGAAACGAUGUGGGAAGGCCCAGACAGCCAGGAUGUUGGCUUAGAAGCAGCCAUCAUUUAAAGAAAGCGUAAUAGCUCACUGGUCGAGUCGGCCUGCGCGGAAGAUGUAACGGGGCUAAACCAUGCACCGAAGCUGCGGCAGCGACGCUUAUGCGUUGUUGGGUAGGGGAGCGUUCUGUAAGCCUGUGAAGGUGUGCUGUGAGGCAUGCUGGAGGUAUCAGAAGUGCGAAUGCUGACAUAAGUAACGAUAAAGCGGGUGAAAAGCCCGCUCGCCGGAAGACCAAGGGUUCCUGUCCAACGUUAAUCGGGGCAGGGUGAGUCGACCCCUAAGGCGAGGCCGAAAGGCGUAGUCGAUGGGAAACAGGUUAAUAUUCCUGUACUUGGUGUUACUGCGAAGGGGGGACGGAGAAGGCUAUGUUGGCCGGGCGACGGUUGUCCCGGUUUAAGCGUGUAGGCUGGUUUUCCAGGCAAAUCCGGAAAAUCAAGGCUGAGGCGUGAUGACGAGGCACUACGGUGCUGAAGCAACAAAUGCCCUGCUUCCAGGAAAAGCCUCUAAGCAUCAGGUAACAUCAAAUCGUACCCCAAACCGACACAGGUGGUCAGGUAGAGAAUACCAAGGCGCUUGAGAGAACUCGGGUGAAGGAACUAGGCAAAAUGGUGCCGUAACUUCGGGAGAAGGCACGCUGAUAUGUAGGUGAAGUCCCUUGCGGAUGGAGCUGAAAUCAGUCGAAGAUACCAGCUGGCUGCAACUGUUUAUUAAAAACACAGCACUGUGCAAACACGAAAGUGGACGUAUACGGUGUGACGCCUGCCCGGUGCCGGAAGGUUAAUUGAUGGGGUCAGCGCAAGCGAAGCUCUUGAUCGAAGCCCCGGUAAACGGCGGCCGUAACUAUAACGGUCCUAAGGUAGCGAAAUUCCUUGUCGGGUAAGUUCCGACCUGCACGAAUGGCGUAAUGAUGGCCAGGCUGUCUCCACCCGAGACUCAGUGAAAUUGAACUCGCUGUGAAGAUGCAGUGUACCCGCGGCAAGACGGAAAGACCCCGUGAACCUUUACUAUAGCUUGACACUGAACAUUGAGCCUUGAUGUGUAGGAUAGGUGGGAGGCUUUGAAGUGUGGACGCCAGUCUGCAUGGAGCCGACCUUGAAAUACCACCCUUUAAUGUUUGAUGUUCUAACGUUGACCCGUAAUCCGGGUUGCGGACAGUGUCUGGUGGGUAGUUUGACUGGGGCGGUCUCCUCCUAAAGAGUAACGGAGGAGCACGAAGGUUGGCUAAUCCUGGUCGGACAUCAGGAGGUUAGUGCAAUGGCAUAAGCCAGCUUGACUGCGAGCGUGACGGCGCGAGCAGGUGCGAAAGCAGGUCAUAGUGAUCCGGUGGUUCUGAAUGGAAGGGCCAUCGCUCAACGGAUAAAAGGUACUCCGGGGAUAACAGGCUGAUACCGCCCAAGAGUUCAUAUCGACGGCGGUGUUUGGCAC